rnacentral:rRNA from 1 species
GAUGAACGCUAGCUACAGGCUUAACACAUGCAAGUCGCGGGGCAGCAUGGGGGUUGCUUGCAAUCCCUGAUGGCGACCGGCGCACGGGUGAGUAACGCGUAUCCAACCUGCCCUUCACCACGGGAUAACCCGGCGAAAGUCGGACUAAUACCGUAUGUUGUCCAUUGACGGCAUCCGAUUUGGACGAAAGGCUUGGCGGUGAGGGAUGGGGAUGCGUCCGAUUAGCUUGACGGCGGGGUAACGGCCCACCGUGGCGACGAUCGGUAGGGGUUCUGAGAGGAAGGUCCCCCACACUGGAACUGAGACACGGUCCAGACUCCUACGGGAGGCAGCAGUGAGGAAUAUUGGUCAAUGGGCGGAAGCCUGAACCAGCCAAGUAGCGUGCAGGAUGACGGCCCUAUGGGUUGUAAACUGCUUUUAUGCGGGGAUAAAGGAGCCCACGUGUGGGUUUUUGCAGGUACC